CCUACGGGAGGCAGCAGUGGGGAAUUUUGGACAAUGGGCGCAAGCCUGAUCCAGCAAUGCCGCGUGCAGGAUGAAGGCCUUCGGGUUGUAAACUGCUUUUGUACGGAACGAAACGGUCUCUUUUAAUACGAGGGGCUAAUGACGGUACCGUAAGAAUAAGCACCGGCUAACUACGUGCCAGCAGCCGCGGUAAUACGUAGGGUGCGAGCGUUAAUCGGAAUUACUGGGCGUAAAGCGUGCGCAGGCGGUGAUGUAAGACAGAUGUGAAAUCCCCGGGCUCAACCUGGGACCUGCAUUUGUGACUGCAUCGCUAGAGUACGGUAGAGGGGGAUGGAAUUCCGCGUGUAGCAGUGAAAUGCGUAGAUAUGCGGAGGAACACCGAUGGCGAAGGCAAUCCCCUGGACCUGUACUGACGCUCAUGCACGAAAGCGUGGGGAGCAAACAGGAUUAGAUACCCUGGUAGUCCACGCCCUAAACGAUGUCAACUGGUUGUUGGGUCUUCACUGACUCAGUAACGAAGCUAACGCGUGAAGUUGACCGCCUGGGGAGUACGGCCGCAAGGUUGAAACGUUAAAGGAAGUUAGACGG
rnacentral:rRNA from 1 species